UCCUCGGUAGUAUAGUGGUGAGUAUCCCCGCCUGUCACGCGGGUUACCGGUGUUCAAUUCUCCGCCGGGGAG
rfam:Daphnia pulex DAPPTscaffold_441_Cont9567, whole genome shotgun sequence.